UAUGGAGGAAAAAAAAUAAAGGAAUCAGCCCAGAGCGUUGGGAGUAAAACAGAGAAGAAACAGUCUUUAUAAAAGACAAGAGAGGAUAGUUUUUUUUGUUUGUCUUUCUUUUGUCUUUUUAGGGCCGCACCUGAGGCAUAUGGAGGUUCCCAGGCUAGGAGUCGAAUUGGAGCCGCAGCUACCAGCCUACACCACAGCCACAGCCACAGCCACAGCAAUGCAGUAUCUGCACCAUGUCUGCAAAUCUGCGACCUACCUCACAGUUCACAGCAAUGUUGGAUCCUUAACCCAUUGAACAAGGCCAGGGAUCAAACCUGCGUCCUCAUGCUUGUUCAGUUCAUUUCUGCUGAGCUACGACAGGAACUCCAAGAGAGGAUAGUUUUAAUAAAUAGUAUUAAGCAGGCAAGAUUUGUGAGAUCAACAGGGUCAGACUAGCAAGGUUCGGGAGCAUACACAUACGUUUGAUUCAUCAAGGUAGAGCUCCUUUUCUACUUCAGACAGUGCGGUUUCAUAUGAGCACUUGGAGAGAAGCCAAAUUGGGUAGUUUCUUUGAGGAUAAGGACCAUGCCUUUUAUUUUUAUAUCCCUAGUGCCUAGCACAGUAGUUAUCAUGUAGGAGGUACUUGGUGCAUUUUUGAAGAAUUGAAAUAUAAUUAAUAGUUGGUGAAAAAGAUGAGUUAGUAGCUAUAGAUAUCACACUGAAAAAAAAAUUGGCGGAAUGGAAAGGAGGAGGUUUUUAGUUUGGCAGCAGUUACAGAGGAAAAAUCUUUGCAUUUAAAUGUUGAGAUGAACUCAGCAGAGAGGGAAAAAUUAAAGUUUCUGAAGAGGGAAGGAAGUUUGAAAGCUGAAGUCCUUGCUGCUUGGGUAAGAAUCUAUUGCAACGUGAACAGUGUGGCCUUCAAGAGGUAACACCCCCUCACCUCCCUCGCCCCAACCUUUGAUGAUGUAGGAAUAUUCUAAUGAAAAGAGACAGUCUUUGGAGUCAGAAAACCUAGAGCUAAAUCUUGACUUUACCUUUUACUAGAUCACUGGCAUAUCAUGUAUUCUUUUAGGUUUAAAUGACUCAGCUAGAGAUUUAGUGACCAACUGUAGGAUGCCUAGAAACUCAUCCGCCGCCCAUGUCUUCCUCAUCUUCCAGCUACUACAUUUUAUGAUUAUGUCCUUCUGGCCACAGUCGAUUGUCCCAGCCCAUUAUUGCUCUGAGGACAUUUCACUGGCCAGGAUGAGCACCUGACCCACAUGCAACCAGUGCUUGUCUUCCUGGUGUUUUUAAGGCCCAGGGUGCGAGAGGAUUAAUGGAAUCUAUAAGCCAGAAAACUUGUGACACAUCAGGGCUGUGUUUCCCACCCGCUGAAGAAUGCUGAUCUGUGGUGAAAGAGAAUGAUGCUGACAUGAGAGAAAAUCAGAGGCAAAGGAAAGGAGUCAGACAGAGCCACCUGGUCCCAGCAACCUCGCAGUUCCUGAGCCCUUGCUGCAUCCCUGACCCUCCUAAUUUGGUUCUCUAACCCUUUCUUGCAUCCAGUGAGCCAGUUGAGCUGACUCAGUUCUUUUCAAAUCAGACUCGUUUGAGUUGAGUUUCUUUACCUUAUAAUUCAACUCAUACCUGAAUUUGGAUGAAUUGCUCUGACUCUGGUGACCAUCCUUUCCUUCACUAGAACUUAAGUCUUUCUCAAGGGCUAAAGUCUUACGUCUAAGGCUCCAUCCCUUCCUAACUUGUGAGGGCUUUAGGGAACCAUUUCUGAGCUGUCAACUUUGGUUUUUACCCCUUUCAUAGGUCCUUCUCUGAGGUACUGGCAAAUGCCUCUCUCCUCCUCUAAAGCCUUCAACUUGAUUCUUUGGGCUCCACUAAUUCCAUUUUGACUAAAGCAUGCAUAGGAAUAUGGUAGAAGACAAAAUUAGAAGGUUGAAGUUAGGGGCCUGAUUGAGGAAAAUUGGCACUUCAGUCUUAUGUAGUUUGCUGUUAUUGUCUGGACCAGAGAGCUCUAACAGAACUUUCUGUGAUAAUGGAAAUGCUCUGUUUCUGCAAGCUGUUAACCACAAACAUGUAUCUGCCACGACUGGGAAAUUGAAUAUUUAUUUAUUUAUUUAUGCAAUUAUUUAUUUAUGUAUUUAUUUUGUCUUUGUAGGACUGCUCCUGCAGCACAUGGAGAUUCCCAGGCUAGGGGUUGAAUCAGAGCUGUAGCUGCUGACCUGUACCAGAUCCAAGCUGCGUCUUCGACCUACACCGCAGCUCAUGGCAACAUGGGAUCCUUAACCAGCUGAGGGAUCGAACCUGCGUCUUCCUGGUUCCUAGUCAGAUUCAUUUCUGCUGAGCCUCGACAGGAACUCCUUAUUUAUUUUUUAAAAUAUUUUUUGGGCUGGGCCUGCAGCAAGCAGAAGUUCCCAGACCAUAGCAGUGACAAUGUGUCCCAGCAGUGACGAUGCCAAAUACCUGACUGCCGGGGAACUCCUGAAUUUUUUUUUUUUUUUUGUCUUUUUUGUUGUUGUUGUUGUUGUUGUUGCUAUUUCUUGGGCCGCUCCCGCGGCAUAUGGAGGUUGCAGACACGGCUCAGAUCUGGUGUUGCUGUGGUGUAGGCUGGCAGCUACAGUUCCAAUUUGAUCCCUAAACUGGGAACCUCCACAUGCCAUAGGCCCG
rnacentral:lncRNA from 1 species